GUCGGCUCCGAAGAGCAUUCCUUCCGAUCAAAACAACAACCAACCGAAGCUGUUGAUUUUGCAUCUCAGGAUUAGUGUCACAAACCCAAGCGUUCAGACAACGGCUCUGCAGCUAUAGGAAGCUAAGAUUAUCUUAUAUUUACAACAACAUUUCAUAACCUUUCACUCUCAGCACCACCUUUUCAGUAUCGAAGGCACUCUCAGAGAUUCAACUCUUUUGUUUGCUAUCAUAAGAAAAAAAACCAAAACACACCAACCCUUAGUUUGGGUAACCACUGGAAUUUAUUUAGCCUAAGUUGUUACCACAUGCCAAAUACUGUCUCUACUUCUUCUAUAUUUGUCAUAUAUGUUGAGCUUAAGUCCCCAUCACCACCCCCAGCGCCCACAAAAAUGUCUGCUCUGUUUGGCUUAUAAAGGAAAAAUAUCCUUUUAAGGGAAAGGCACUUCAGUAAAAGAUAACGCUUGUUUUUUACCUUAUCAGCAGUGUGAGAGAAAGGAGAAAAAGAGAGGGUGGGAAUUUUAGUGAUGGAGAGACAUCCCCUUGCUUAUGCAUGUGAAUUCCUGAGUCCUCCCAACACCAUAGCUACUCAAUUAAAGGCCCACAUUAUAGAAGAGUUUCUUCCUCAGAACAGCUCACACCAAGGAAUUUAACUAUGAACAUCUAGAAAUACAUCGUCACCAGUUCCAAACUAUAAUGCAGAACAAUAGUUACCACAGUAAUGAUGAUUCCAAAAAGAUUUCCUCCCAUCUGUACCAACAGUAUGUGCUGACGAUUGCCAGAGUCCUGCGGACGUUCAAGAGUGUGGCUCCCUACCACAGCAUUGCACAGCACAUUGUGUUGCACUUUUGAUCAACACAAGACUCAAAAAACAAGUCAGGGGAGUUCAGCUGAGUCAGGGCUGCAGAGCUGCCUACACCAGGUGUGAGAGCUGGCUACAAAGGAGAAAGGUACUCAAGGCAUAAGUGCUGGUCAGGACUCAGGGCAUCACCCUCUCAGCUUCUGAGAGGCAAGGCCUACAGCUGCCUUGAUCCUGACAGAACUCUAGGGAAUCUCAGAACUGUCUCAUUUGCUAUUGUAUAUCACAGUCCAAUACAUUUCAACAUACAUGAGGACAUAAUGGAACAGGAUAUUUAAUUCUGAAAGGAUAUUUAAUUUUGAAAGGCAUUAAAUAGUAACAGCAUCUCCCUUAACAUUAUUCCCAAUCAUUAAGAAUCUCUUGCUGGCCUCCUGCAAGCCUUACUCCCACCCAUAAAUAUGCCCAAUCUCCAGUGCCUGGAGAAGGAGUCCAAUUCCUCCACAGCUUUCUCUGAGCUUCCUUCCAUACCAAGCCCAAACCACUCAAUGUAGGGUGUUUCUUUUAAAAGAUUAAAACUUAGCAAACCUCU